CGCGUACAGAGGCACAAAUUAAAUAAGUAUUAAGUAGUUUAUCUGCAACCCCUGCCACAACCCUCCCCCACCCAUCCAAAGCCGCCUACCGCACCCCCAACUCCUAAACCUAUCCCCACCACCAUAUCAAAUGGUGCUCUCCACCCUAAAAUCUUAUCCUUUUGCCUUUUGGCUCGUUUCAAAUGCGAAUUCAAUGAACAUAAUUGGAUAAAAAUGCAACAAAAGAAAUAGUAAGCGAAACAGCUAGAGAAAGAGACUGAGAAAUAGAAAGAGAAAGAUCUGUGUGUGGGUGCCCCAUCGGGCUAUGGCUCCACCUCCGCCAUCGACCGGCGCCGUCAAAUGAAAUCAUAAUUUAAAGGGUGUCCGUGUAUGCCAGAUACACCCAACUCCCCACCCCACCCCACCCGCAACCGCGAACGCCAUAGCCCCCGUCUCGAGAUCAUCGCGAAUUCAUAAAAGCAUGUCAUUUUGUGCACGCAAUCGCGUUGCGUUAUAAUUGGAAAUUGGAAAUGGCUGAGAAAAAAAUGAAAUAGCAGACACAAGCCUUUGCGGAAUUGACUGGACCUGGGAUUUGGUUUGAGUUUUGAGUUUGAGUCAAUCGAUGGGUUUGGAGCAGUGGCCGUCUUUACCUGUCUAUACUUGUGUCAUUUGGGAUGAUUUAUAAUAUUGGUAAUAUUAUUUUGUCUGGAAAUUAAUUCGCAGUUUGGAUACUAUAAAAUAAAGGAACAGCUUUAUCUAAAUGUCUAUAAUCUACACAUACUAUUGCGGAUAACUUAAGUAGAAAAUAAUCUUCUAUAGCUCCCAUAAGACCUUUAUAGAAUCUUCCAUAUAUUCUUCGUAUAUGUUCGGAGUGCCAAAGAUGAAAAACCUUUGCAGACAUAAUGCUGAUGUCCGAUAUAUUUUAUAUAGUUAACUUCGUAAUUUAGAGACAAAGUUCGCACUGUUGAUAUCGAUCAAUAAUAUAUAUAACUGGGGUCUGAGGCGUCUUCUCAAUGCGUUACAUAUAUCGUAAGAAACUAUUACAAGCCUAACCAAAAAUAUAUAAAGUAGCAACAGUUUCCCACUCAUAUUUCGCCUUUGCUUGUAGAAUUCCUUAACAAUGUGCCCAAGCUCUUACGGCUGUAGGUGUACUUUGUUAUAUCAUUUGUGAUAUUAUUAUUUUCC